AAAUGUCGGAACCUCGAAAUGGUAUUUCAGAUCCACUAGCCCCCCGUAUGUCUUAAUUAAUGUGCGGCUAUCCGCCGCCGGGUUCCGAGUCGUUUGGAAGGAGUAGGCCCUGUUUAUUUACCGGUAUGGUUGACGGAAUGGUAUCCGUGCGCUGACGUCUAUGUAAAUGCACCUUAAAGUUUCAAAAUUUCUGAAGGAUGGAUGAUAUUGGUCGAAGUGAAACACCGAGCGAACGGUGCGUGAAAAGAGGGAGACUCAAUUGCGCAGUACUGAAUGCGCAGUAGAAUGAUGAUGGUAGAGAAGCUUCUAGAAGGGGAG